UACGUAGGGUGCAGGCGUUAUUCGGAAUUACUGGGCGUAAAGCGUGCGCAGGCGGUUUGCUAAGUCAGGUGUGAAAUCCCCGGGCUUAACCUGGGAACUGCGCUUGUUACUGGCAGGCUUGAGUGUGGCAGAGGGGGGUGGAAUUCCACGUGUAGCAGUGAAAUGCGUAGAGAUGUGGAGGAACACCGAUGGCGAAGGCAGCCCCCUGGGCUAACACUGACGCUCAUGCACGAAAGCGUGGGGAGCAAACAGG
rnacentral:rRNA from 1 species